rnacentral:rRNA from 1 species
CUAGCGACUUCAGAGUUUGAUCCUGGCUCAGGACGAACGCUGGCGGCGUGCCUAACACAUGCAAGUCGAACGAAGCAUUCAAGUGAAUCCCUUCGGGGUGAAGCUUUUAUGACUUAGUGGCGGACGGGUGAGUAACGCGUGAGUAACCUGCCUUUCAGAGGGGGGAUAACAGUUGGAAACGACUGCUAAUACCGCAUAACGUAUUGAGAUCGCAUGGUCUUGAUACCAAAGCUGAGGCGCUGAAAGAUGGACUCGCGUCUGAUUAGAUAGUUGGUGGGGCAACGGCCUACCAAGUCGACGAUCAGUAGCCGGACUGAGAGGUUGAACGGCCACAUUGGGACUGAGACACGGCCCAG